GAAAUGCGAUAAGUAGUGUGAAUUGCAGAAUUCAGUGAAUCAUCGAAUCUUUGAACGCACAUUGCGCCCCUUGGUAUUCCAUGGGGCAUGCCUGUUCGAGCGUCAUCUACACCCUCAAGCUCUGCUUGGUGUUGGGCGUCUUUGUCCCGCCUCCGCGCGCGGACUCGCCCCAAAUUCAUUGGCAGCGGUCCUUGCCUCCUCUCGCGCAACACAUUGCGCUUCUCGAGGUGUUGCGGCCCGCGUCCAGAAAGCAAUCGUUACCGUCUUUGACCUCGGAUCAGGUAGGGAUACCCGCUGAACUUAAGC
rnacentral:misc_RNA from 1 species